AUUGAACGCUAGCGGGAUGCCUUACACAUGCAAGUCGAACGGAGGGGCGAACGCGUGAGUGAUGUAACUGACCGGGCCCCUUCGCGGGGGAUAAGGACGCGAACGCGUAGCUAAUACCGCAUACUAUUGGCGCGGCCGAUAUCGGAUUAGCAAGUGGGUGGGGUAACGGCUCACCAAGGCGACGAUCCGUAGCUGGUCUGAGAGGACGACCAGCCACACUGGGACUGAGACACGGCCCAGACUCCUACGGGAGGCAGCAGUGUGGAAUUUUGUACAAUGGGGGAAACCCUGAUCCAGCCAUCCCGCGUGUGCGAUGAAGGCCUUCGGGUUGUAAAGCACUUUCGGCAGGAAAGCGGUACCUGCAGAAGAAGCACCGGCUAACUCCGUGCCAGCAGCCGCGGUAAUUC
rnacentral:rRNA from 1 species